UACAGAGGGUGCUAGCGUUGUUCGGAAUCAUUGGGCGUAAAGGGCGUGUAGGCGGUUUGUUAAGUCAUGUGUGAAAUCCCUCGGCUCAACCGGGGAACGACGCAUGAAACUGGCAAGCUAGAGUACCAAAGAGGGGGGUGGAAUUCCCGGUGUAGCGGUGAAAUGCGUAGAGAUCCGGAGGAACACCGAAGGCGAAGGCAGUGUCCUGGGGAGUACCUGACGCUCAGGUGCGAAAGCCAGGGGAGCGAACGGG
rnacentral:rRNA from 1 species